CCCAGGUCAGGCGGGG
rnacentral:rRNA from 1 species